rnacentral:rRNA from 1 species
GACGAACGCUGGCGGCGUGCUUAACACAUGCAAGUCGAACGGAAAGGCCCUGCUUUUGUGGGGUGCUCGAGUGGCGAACGGGUGAGUAACACGUGAGUAACCUGCCCUUGACUUUGGGAUAACUUCAGGAAACUGGGGCUAAUACCGGAUAGGAGCUCCUGCUGCAUGGUGGGGGUUGGAAAGUUUCGGCGGUUGGGGAUGGACUCGCGGCUUAUCAGCUUGUUGGUGGGGUAGUGGCUUACCAAGGCUUUGACGGGUAGCUGGCCUGAGAGGGUGACCGGCCUCAUUGGGACUGAGAUACGGCCCAGACUCCUACGGGAGGCAGCAGUGGGGAAUAUUGCACAAUGGGCGGAAGCCUGAUGCAGCAACGCCGCGUGCGGGAUGACGGCCUUCGGGUUGUAAACCGCUUUCGCCUGUGACGAAGCGUGAGUGACGGUAAUGGGUAAAGAAGCACCGGCUAACUACGUG